rnacentral:rRNA from 1 species
CACAUGCAAGUCGAGGGGCAGCAUUUUUCUUUCAAUAGAAGAGAUGGCGACCGGCGCACGGGUGAGUAACACGUAUCCAACCUACCGAUAACUCUGGAAUAGCCUUUCGAAAGAAAGAUUAAUACCGGAUAGUAUACGAAUAUCGCAUGAUAUUUUUAUUAAAGAAUUUCGGUUAUCGAUGGGGAUGCGUUCCAUUAGUUUGUUGGCGGGGUAACGGCCCACCAAGACUACGAUGGAUAGGGGUUCUGAGAGGAAGGUCCCCCACAUUGGAACUGAGACACGGUCCAAACUCCUACGGGAGGCAGCAGUGAGGAAUAUUGGUCAAUGGGCGCAGGCCUGAACCAGCCAAGUAGCGUGAAGGAUGAAGGCUCUAUGGGUCGUAAACUUCUUUUAUAUGGGAAUAAAGUUUUCCACGUGUGGAAUUUUGUAUGUACCAUAUGAAUAAGGAUCGGCUAACUCCGUGCCAGCAGCCGCGGUAAUACGGAGGAUCCGAGCGUUAUCCGGAUUUAUUGGGUUUAAAGGGAGCGUAGGUGGAUUGUUAAGUCAGUUGUGAAAGUUUGCGGCUCAACCGUAAAAUUGCAGUUGAAACUGGUAGUCUUGAGUACAGUAGAGGUGGGCGGAAUUCGUGGUGUAGCGGUGAAAUGCUUAGAUAUCACGAAGAACUCCGAUUGCGAAGGCAGCUCACUAGACUGUAACUGACACUGAUGCUCGAAAGUGUGGGUAUCAAACAGGAUUAGAUACCCUGGUAGUCCACACAGUAAACGAUGAAUACUCGCUGUUUGCGAUAUACAGUAAGCGGCCAAGCGAAAGCAUUAAGUAUUCCACCUGGGGAGUACGCCGGCAACGGUGAAACUCAAAGGAAUUGACGGGGGCCCGCACAAGCGGAGGAACAUGUGGUUUAAUUCGAUGAUACGCGAGGAACCUUACCCGGGCUUAAAUUGCAACAGAAUAUAUUGGAAACAGUAUAGCCGUAAGGCUGUUGUGAAGGUGCUGCAUGGUUGUCGUCAGCUCGUGCCGUGAGGUGUCGGCUUAAGUGCCAUAACGAGCGCAACCCUUAUCUUUAGUUACUAACAGGUCAUGCUGAGGACUCUAGAGAGACUGCCGUCGUAAGAUGUGAGGAAGGUGGGGAUGACGUCAAAUCAGCACGGCCCUUACGUCCGGGGCUACACACGUGUUACAAUGGGGGGUACAGAAGGCAGCUACACGGCGACGUGAUGCUAAUCCCAAAAACCUCUCUCAGUUCGGAUCGAAGUCUGCAACCCGACUUCGUGAAGCUGGAUUCGCUAGUAAUCGCGCAUCAGCCAUGGCGCGGUGAAUACGUUCCCGGGCCUUGUACACACCGCCCGUCAAGCCAUGAAAGCCGGGGGUACCUGAAGUACGUAAAGGCAAGGAGCGUCCUAGGGUAAAACUGGUAAUUGGGCCU